AUUUUAAACUGUUCAACUAUACCCCCUGACGGGUCAUUGGUUGCUGCUGGAUUUUCAGAUUCAUCGCUGAAGAUUUGGGAUAUGGCAAAGCUUGGGCAACAGGCUGUUGGUUCUGUUUUGCAGGGUGACGAUGAUGCAAAUCCAAAUGAGUUUGGUUCAAAUGGAGGAAAAAGACCCUAUACCUUAUUUUAGGGGCACUCAGGACCAGUUUAUUCAGCUUCUUUUAGUCCUAUGGGAGAUUUUAUACUUUCCUCUUCAGCCGAUUCAACAAUUCGGUUAUGGAGCACUGAACUAAAUGCAAAUCUUGUUUGCUACAAGGGUCAUAAUUACCCAGUAUGGGAUGUACAGUAUAGUCCUGUAGGACACUAUUUCGCUAGUGCAUCACAGGACCAGACAACAAGGAUAUGGUCUAUGGAAAGAAUACAACCUUUGUGAAUAAUGGCAGGGCAUUUAUCUGAUGUUGAUGUUAGUUU